UGACCUCGGAUCAGGUAGGGAUACCCGCUGAACUUAAGCAUAUCAAUAAGCGGAGGAAAAGAAACCAACCGGGAUUGCCCUAGUAACGGCGAGUGAAGCGGCAAGAGCUCAAAUUUGAAAGCUGGCCCCCUCGGGGUCCGCAUUGUAAUUUGCAGAGGAUGCUUCGGGAACGGCCCCCAUCUAAGUGCCCUGGAACGGGCCGUCAUAGAGGGUGAGAAUCCCGUCUGGGAUGGGGUGGCCGCGCCCGUGUGAAGCUCCUUCGACGAGUCGAGUUGUUUGGGAAUGCAGCUCUAAUUGGGUGGUAAAUUUCAUCUAAAGCUAAAUAUUGGCCGGAGACCGAUAGCGCACAAGUAGAGUGAUCGAAAGAUGAAAAGCACUUUGAAAAGAGAGUUAAACAGCACGUGAAAUUGUUGAAAGGGAAGCGCUUGCGACCAGACUCGCCCGCGGGGUUCAGCCGGCACUCGUGCCGGUGUACUUCCCCGCGGGCGGGCCAGCGUCGGUUUGGGCGGCCGGUCAAAGGCCUCUGGAAGGUAACGCCUCUCGGGGCGUCUUGUACGCCAGGGGUGCCAUGCGGCCUGCCCGGACCGAGGAACGCGCUUCGGCUCGGACGCUG
rnacentral:rRNA from 1 species